CGGGGUGGCCAUAUUUAGAUUUUGACCAUAUAAUAGUACUAGUAAAUAGUACGAGAAAAAACUAUUUGACGAGAAGAGAAAAAUUAUCUAGAAAGUCUUGUAGGGAGCAAG
ensembl:ncRNA F52F12.11 ncRNA